UACGAAGGCCCCGAGCGUUAUCCGGAAUUAUUGGGCGUAAAGGGUGCGUAGGUGGUUUUGUAAGUCUUUCUGUAAAAUCCGACAGCUUAACUGUGGGACCGCAGGAGAUACUGCAAGACUAGAGGAUGCGAGAGGCUUGUGGAACUUACGGUGUAGGGGUGAAAUCCGUUGAUAUCGUAGGGAACACCAAAGGCGAAGGCAGCAAGCUGGCGCAUUUCUGACGCUGAGGCACGAAAGCGUGGGGAGCAAAAAGG
rnacentral:misc_RNA from 1 species